AUAUACGCUAUUCGAGCUGGAAUUACCGCGGCUGCUGGCACCAGACUUGCCCUCGAAUUGCUAAUCGUUAAAGGAUUUAAAGUGUUCUCAUUCCGAUUACGGGGCCUCGGAUGAGUCCCGUAUCGUUAUUUUUCGUCACUACCUCCCCGUGCCGGGAGUGGGUAAUUUGCGCGCCUGCUGCCUUCCUUGGAUGUGGUAGCCGUUUCUCAGGCUCCCUCUCCGGAAUCGAACCCUGAUUCCCCGUUACCCGUUACAACCAUGGUAGGCGCAGAACCUACCAUCGACAGUUGAUAAGGCAGACAUUUGAAAGAUGCGUCGCCGGUGCGAGACCGUGCGAUCAGCAGAAAGUUAUUCAGAGUCACCAAACAGUGCGACGAACAAUAACGCCGAAACGCUACUGCCGCCGAUUGGUUUUGAUCUAAUAAAAGCACUCCUUCCGUCUCCGGUUGGAGCUCUGUUUGCAUGUAUUAGCUCUAGAAUUACCACAGUUAUCCAAGUAAAUGUGGGUACGAUCUAAGGAACCAUAACUGAUUUAAUGAGCCUUUCGCGGUUUCACCUUAAUUUGGCUUGUACUGAGACAUGCAUGGCUUAAUCUUUGAGACAAGCAUAUGACUACUGGCAGGAUC
rnacentral:rRNA from 1 species